rnacentral:rRNA from 1 species
UCAGAUUGAACGCUGGCGGCAGGCCUAACACAUGCAAGUCGAGCGGUAACAUUUCUAGCUUGCUAGAAGAUGACGAGCGGCGGACGGGUGAGUACAACUUGGGAAUCUGCCUGAUGGAGGGGGACAACCACUGGAAACGGUGGCUAAUACCGCAUAAUCUUUUCGGAGCAAAGUGGGGGAUCUUCGGACCUCACGCCAUCAGAUGAGCCCAAGCAAGAUUAGGUAGUUGGUGGGGUAAAGGCCUACCAAGCCGACGAUCUUUAGCUGGUCUGAGAGGAUGAUCAGCCACACUGGGACUGAGACACGGCCCAGACUCCUACGGGAGGCAGCAGUGGGGAAUAUUGGACAAUGGGGGCAACCCUGAUCCAGCCAUGCCGCGUGUGUGAAGAAGGCCUUCGGGUUGUAAAGCACUUUCAGUGGUGAGGAAGGCUUGCAAGUUAAUAGCUUGCGAGAUUGACGUUAGCCACAGAAGAAGCACCGGCUAACUCCGUGCCAGCAGCCGCGGUAAUACGGAGGGUGCGAGCGUUAAUCGGAAUUACUGGGCGUAAAGCGCACGUAGGCGGUUUGUUAAGCAAGAUGUGAAAGCCCCGGGCUCAACCUGGGAAUUGCAUUUUGAACUGGCAGGCUAGAGUUUUGAAGAGGGUGGUAGAAUUUCCUG